UACGGAGGAUCCAAGCGUUAUCCGGAUUUAUUGGGUUUAAAGGGUGCGUAGGCGGCCUAUUAAGUCAGGGGGUGAAAGACGGUAGCUUAACUAUCGCAGUGCCUUUGAUACUGAUAGGCUUGAAUGUACUUGAGGUAGGCGGAAUGUGACAAGUAGCGGUGAAAAUGCAUAGAUAUGUCACAGAACACCAAUUGCGAAGGCAGCUUACUAAAGUAUGAUUGACGCUGAGGCACGAAAGCGUGGGGAUCAAACAGG
rnacentral:rRNA from 1 species